GACGAACGCUGGCGGCGUGCUUAACACAUGCGAGUCGAACGGAAAGGCCCUGCUUUUGUGGGGUGCUCGAGUGGCGAACGGGUGAGUAACACGUGAGUAACCUGCCCUUGACUUUGAGAUAACUUCAGGAAACUGGGGCUAAUACCGGAUAGGAGCUCCUGCUGCAUGGUGGGGGUUGGAAAGUUUCGGCGGUUGGGGAUGGACUCGCGGCUUAUCAGCUUGUUGGUGGGGUAGUGGCUUACCAAGGCUUUGACGGGUAGCCGGCCUGAGAGGGUGACCGGCCACAUUGGGACUGAGAUACGGCCCAGACUCCUACGGGAGGCAGCAGUGGGGAAUAUUGCACAAUGGGCGGAAGCCUGAUGCAGCAACGCCGCGUGCGGGAUGACGGCCUUCGGGUUGUAAACCGCUUUCGCCUGUGACGAAGCGUGAGUGACGGUAAUGGGUAAAGAAGCACCGGCUAACUACGUG
rnacentral:rRNA from 1 species